GAGGGGUUGGGGCAGUCCUGGGAAUGUAGCUCAGAACUGCACAAUUUUUUGAAAAAGAAAGAAGGAAGGAAGGAGAGAGGAAGGAAGGGAGGAAAGAAAGAAAGAGAGGGAAGGAAGGAAGGAAGGAAGGAAGGAAGGAAGGAAGGAAGGAAGGAAGGAAGGAAAGCUGUUCAUUUAGAAUGACCUCUGAGGCCAUGGUAAAACAUUGUCAGAUGUUAGAUUGUUCUUAGAGUAGAGCCCAUGAACAAGAUUGACUGAUACUUUGGAUAAGUAGUAUGAGGAACAGGAAAAGAAUUCAAUAAUGACUCCAGUGUUUUUAGCAUGCAAAUAGCAGGGAUAGUUUUGCCAUUGAGAUGGAAGAACUGAGUGUGAAUCAAGUUAAAAUGAAGGUUGAGAAAUUCAUUUUUGAAGCUCUUAAGCAAAUUUGACAUUUUCGACGUCUAAAUAGCCAAUCAUUAUUUGGAUUAGUUACCAGGUUCUUCAUAAACAUUAGGUAAAUCUUUAAGGCAACCAAAAUAAGAAGGUGUGAAAUGAUGUUCAGGAACAGUUUGUUUGCACAUACAUCUUGCUUCAAAAACUGCAGAAGUGCCUAUGUACUGAUUUGUUAAUCAUUUACUGUUAUAAAUUUGCCAAAUGACCAACAAGAAUGAUAAAUGAAUAAAAUUGUUUCUACUUUGUUCAGAAAAGGACUAUUGGGAAGGCACUUCCCUGUGUCUUGUUUCCAUGCUACCCGAUAUACUGUUUUAGGGCUGGUAAAGUCAUCCCUGUGUAAAUUCUUGUAGUUCAGGAUAAAAGAUCAUUUCAGACAUUCAUGAUGAACCUAUUAAAUGUGGGAACUGUGACGCUUAGUUGUAAUAUUAUCCAUUAAUAAGGUUUAAACAACUUAGUCAAAAAAAGUACACUGAAGAAGAGAGUUAGUUUCAUUUGAAGGAUUUUUAGAGCUAAAAAUUAUGCUUAGAAACCAUUUUCCCAAUUUUUAGCACUUCUGUAAGUGAAAUUGCUGAUGCAGAUCUAAGUUCCUUUCUUCCCUUAUAUCAUUAUCUCAGAGUUUAAAGCAAUAAUCAUUGCAAUCAUUCAAGUUAAGUGCUUCCUAUUGUGAAUAUGAGCUAGCCCUUGUGUCUAUUGAUUAUUGAUUGUGUUGCCACUUUUAAGGUGAAAUCUUUUCACUCAAAAGGCUCCACCAGUGAUGAGUGUAUCCUCCUGAUGACCCUUGUUCUCUUUCAUCUUUGGCAGGAUGUCGAAUAGCAUAAAUAAUUGCUGAAGUGUUGCAUAUCCUGGUCUUUAUGUGACUACUCAGGAUUCCCUGACACAAGUACUAAUGAGCUUCCAAUUUCUGAGUUUUUCUUUCUCUUUAAUUCUUUUUGAAAAGAUUCAUAGAAAUUUGCUUUUAAUAAGGUAGCAGAAUUUUCUAUGAUUUCACUGACAGUUUUCACUUCUAGUUUAUUCUAUAUAACCAUAAAUGAAAAACAUGAAAGUAUAAUCUACCAUGUAAAAAUGCCCC
ensembl:lncRNA